rfam:Gemmatimonadetes bacterium 13_2_20CM_69_8 13_2_20cm_scaffold_1857, whole genome shotgun sequence.
GCUGCAACAGAGCAAAGCCGUCGAAAGGCGGUGACGCAGAGCUACGGGGCUACCGCGAGUACGCAUCGCUACGCCCGCCGGGCCGCCAGC